rnacentral:snoRNA from 1 species
CUGCAGCCAAUUAAGCCUACCAUCCCCUUCUCCCAGUGGGGGCCAGGUGUGCAGUGGCUACAGAUAGCAGCCUCCUUGGUAGUGUAUGCGCCUGUUGCUUGUAAGGGUUGCCCUAAGGGAUCUUGGGGCCAGCC